rnacentral:rRNA from 1 species
CAGACCUCUAAUCGGAAAAGACUACCCGCUGAGUUUAAGCAUAUCACUAAGCGGAGGAGAAGAAACUAACCAGGAUUUCCNAG